rnacentral:rRNA from 1 species
AGAUUAAGUUAUUAAGGGCGCACGGUGGAUGCCUUGGCACUAGAAGCCGAAGAAGGACGUUACUAACGACGAUAUGCUUUGGGUAGCUGUAAGUAAGCGUUGAUCCAGAGAUUUCCGAAUGGGGAACCCAACAUGAGUGAUGUCAUGUUAUCGACAUGUGAAUUCAUAGCAUGUCAGAAGGCAGACCCGGAGAACUGAAACAUCUUAGUACCCGGAGGAAGAGAAAGAAAAUCGAUUCCCUGAGUAGCGGCGAGCGAAACGGAAGAGCCCAAACCAACAAGCUUGCUUGUUGGGGUUGUAGGACACUCUAUACGGAGUUACAAAAGAACAUGUUAGACGAAUCAUCUGGAAAGAUGAAUCAAAGAAGGUAAAAAUCCUGUAGUCGAAAACAUAUUCUCUCUUGAGUGGAUCCUGAGUACGACGGAGCACGUGAAAUUCCGUCGGAAUCUAGGAGGACCAUCUCCUAAGGCUAAAUACUCUCUAGUGACCGAUAGUGAACCAGUACCGUGAGGGAAAGGUGAAAAGUACCCCGGAAGGGGAGUGAAAGAGAACUUGAAACCGUGUGCUUACAAGUAGUCAGAGCCCGUUAAUGGGUGAUGGCGUGCCUUUUGUAGAAUGAACCGGCGAGUUACGAUCUGAUGCAAGGUUAAGCAGCGAAUGUGGAGCCGUAGCGAAAGCGAGUCUGAAUAGGGCGUUGAGUAUUUGGUCGUAGACCCGAAACCAGGUGAUCUACCCUUGGUCAGGUUGAAGUUCAGGUAACACUGAAUGGAGGACCGAACCGACUUACGUUGAAAAGUGAGCGGAUGAACUGAGGGUAGCGGAGAAAUUCCAAUCGAACUUGGAGAUAGCUGGUUCUCUCCGAAAUAGCUUUAGGGCUAGCCUCAAGUGAUGAUUAUUGGAGGUAGAGCACUGUUUGGACGAGGGGCCCCUCUCGGGUUACCGAAUUCAGACAAACUCCGAAUGCCAAUCAAUUUAACUUGGGAGUCAGAACAUGGGUGAUAAGGUCCGUGUUCGAAAGGGAAACAGCCCAGACCACCAGCUAAGGUCCCAAAAUAUAUGUUAAGUGGAAAAGGAUGUGGCGUUGCCCAGACAACUAGGAUGUUGGCUUAGAAGCAGCCAUCAUUUAAAGAGUGCGUAAUAGCUCACUAGUCGAGUGACACUGCGCCGAAAAUGUACCGGGGCUAAACAUAUUACCGAAGCUGUGGAUUGUCCGUAGGACAAUGGUAGGAGAGCGUUCUAAGGGCGUUGAAGCAUGAUCGCAAGGACAUGUGGAGCGCUUAGAAGUGAGAAUGCCGGUGUGAGUAGCGAAAGACGGGUGAGAAUCCGUCCACCGAUUGACUAAGGUUUCCAGAGGAAGGCUCGUCCGCUCUGGGUUAGUCGGGUCCUAAGCUGAGGCCGACAGGCGUAGGCGAUGGAUAACAGGUUGAUAUUCCUGUACCACCUAGUAUCGUUUUAAUCGAUGGGGGGACGCAGUAGGAUAGGCGAAGCGUGCUGUUGGAGUGCACGUCCAAGCAGUAAGGCUGAGUGUUAGGCAAAUCCGGCACUCGUAAGGCUGAGCUGUGAUGGGGAGAGGAAAUUGUUUCCUCGAGUCGUUGAUUUCACACUGCCGAGAAAAGCCUCUAGAUAGAUAACAGGUGCCCGUACCGCAAACCGACACAGGUAGUCAAGAUGAGAAUUCUAAGGUGAGCGAGCGAACUCUCGUUAAGGAACUCGGCAAAAUGACCCCGUAACUUCGGGAGAAGGGGUGCUCUUUAGGGUUCACGCCCAGAAGAGCCGCAGUGAAUAGGCCCAAGCGACUGUUUAUCAAAAACACAGGUCUCUGCUAAACCGUAAGGUGAUGUAUAGGGGCUGACGCCUGCCCGGUGCUGGAAGGUUAAGAGGAGUGGUUAGCUUCUGCGAAGCUACGAAUCGAAGCCCCAGUAAACGGCGGCCGUAACUAUAACGGUCCUAAGGUAGCGAAAUUCCUUGUCGGGUAAGUUCCGACCCGCACGAAAGGCGUAACGAUUUGGGCACUGUCUCAACGAGAGACUCGGUGAAAUCAUAGUACCUGUGAAGAUGCAGGUUACCCGCGACAGGACGGAAAGACCCCGUGGAGCUUUACUGUAGCCUGAUAUUGAAAUUCGGCACAGCUUGUACAGGAUAGGUAGGAGCCAUUGAAACGUGAGCGCUAGCUUACGUGGAGGCGUUGGUGGGAUACUACCCUAGCUGUGUUGGCUUUCUAACCCGCACCACUUAUCGUGGUGGGAGACAGUGUCAGGCGGGCAGUUUGACUGGGGCGGUCGCCUCCUAAAAGGUAACGGAGGCGCUCAAAGGUUCCCUCAGAAUGGUUGGAAAUCAUUCACAGAGUGUAAAGGCAUAAGGGAGCUUGACUGCGAGACCUACAAGUCGAGCAGGGUCGAAAGACGGACUUAGUGAUCCGGUGGUUCCGCAUGGAAGGGCCAUCGCUCAACGGAUAAAAGCUACCCCGGGAUAACAGGCUUAUCUCCCCAAGAGUUCACAUCGACGGGGAGGUUUGGCACCUCGAUGUCGGCUCAUCGCAUCCUGGGGCUGUAGUCGGUCCCAAGGGUUGGGCUGUUCGCCCAUUAAAGCGGUACGCGAGCUGGGUUCAGAACGUCGUGAGACAGUUCGGUCCCUAUCCGUCGUGGGCGUAGGAAAUUUGAGAGGAGCUGUCCUUAGUACGAGAGGACCGGGAUGGACAUACCUCUGGUGUACCAGUUGUCGUGCCAACGGCAUAGCUGGGUAGCUAUGUAUGGACGGGAUAAGUGCUGAAAGCAUCUAAGCAUGAAGCCCCCCUCAAGAUGAGAUUUCCCAACUUCGGUUAUAAGAUUCCUCGAAGAUGACGAGGUUAAUAGGUUCGAGGUGGAAGCGUGGCGACACGUGGAGCUGACGAAUACUAAUCGAUCGAAGACUUAAUCAAUUU